AUGGCUUGGUCACCCUUCUCUGGGCUUAAUCUUCUUCAACUGUGCCCAGAACAGGCCACUGUGUUAUUCCAGAAAGUACAAAAACCCUCGGACUGUAGCAAAAUGAAGGUGUUGGUUCUAGCCCUCCUGCUGGUCAGCGUUUGCUGCCUUGAAGGCGCUUUCGUGAAACGCGAAGCGGAAGGGGAAUCUCAGGCGCCGGCUCAAGAAGUGUCACAUUAUCUGGAGACCUUAUCCCAGUUCUUUCCCCAUGAAGUGUUCAGCGAGGAGAAAAUUGGGCAGUUCAAGACCCAGGCCCAGUCGCUGGCUCAGCAGGCCCAAGAAAGCCUGAAGCCUUUGGCCGACCAAAUGCGGGAGAGCUUUAGCCAGUUCUUUGCCGCGCUCGGAGACUCCGUCAAGAAAGCGACGUCGUCGUCAUAACAAACCAUUAGGACCUUCCCGUCGAGAAUGGCUGAGAUGCAGAUUGUGCCUGGUUGCAAUAAAAAGCAGAUUUUUUCCCUCCACGCUCUCUUGUGUGGCAUUUUAAUUGGGGAACAAGAGGAUGUGGGUUUGGGGCUCCAUCAUGUCCAACGUUCCCAGCCUUGGAUCAAGAGGGCUUCUCUUCAGGACUGCUUUCUGGCCUCCAUCUUUGAGAAGGCCUUGCUUAGAGUGUCUCCAUGGUAACACUCUGGAGAGACUCUUAAGGUGUCUCCAUGGCAACACUCUGGUCCUUUGACUUAGGGUGUCUCCAUGGCAAUGUUCUAGCCCUCUGAGAGAGACCCUUAAGCUGUCUCCAUGGCAACGCUCUGGCCCUCUGAGAGGGGCUCUUAAGCUGUCUCCAUGGUAACGCUCUGGCCCUCUGAGAGAGACCCUUAAACUGUCUCCAUGGCAACACUCUGGCCCUCUGAGAGGGGCUCUUAAGCUGUCUCCAUGGCAACGCUCUGGCCCUCUGAGAGAGACCCUUAAGCUGUCUCCAUGGUAACGCUCUGGCCCUCUGAGAGGCCCUACACAACUUCUAAACAGGGUUGUUGUAUGUUUUCCGGGCUCUAUGGCCAUGUUCUAGAAGUAUUCUCUCCUGACGUUUCGCCCACAUCUAUGGCAGGCACCCUCAGAGGUUGUGAGGUAUGGAGAAACUCAGCAAGGAAGGUUUAUAUAUAUCUGUGGAAAGUCCAGGGUGAGACUCUUUGUCAGUUGGAGGCCAGUGUGAAUGUUGUAGUUAAUCACCUUGAUUAGCAUUGAAUAGCUUCAUCUCCUGGCAUGAAAAUGAACAAAAUCUGGCUACCAGUAUUAAAAAAACUCAAAAAUCAGAACAAUAAAUAACAAGCAACACUCUGAAAACAGAGGAAUUCCAGACAUGAGAACCAAGGGCAGUUAACGACUCUGCCAACCUAGCAGUUCGAAAACAUGCCAAUGUGAGUAGAUCAAUAGGUACCACUCUUGCGGGAAGGUAAAGGCUCUCCAUACAGUCAUGCUAGUGGCCACAUGACCUUGGAGGUGUCUACGGACAACGCCAGCUCUUCGGCUUAGAAAUGGAGAUGAGCACCAACCCCUAGAGUCGGACACGACUGGACUUAACGUCAGGAGAAACCUUUACCUUUACAGUAGAGUCUCACUUAUCCAACAUAAACGGGCCGGCAGAAUGUUGGAUAAGCGAAUAUGUUGGAUAAUAAGGACGCAUUAAGGAAAAGCCUAUUAAACAUCAAAUUAGGUUAUGAUUUUACAAAUGAAGCACCAAAACAUCAUGUUAGACAACAAAUUUGGCAGAAAAAGUAGUUCAAUACGCAGUAAUACUAUGUAGUAAUUACUGUAUUUAUGAAUUUUGCACCAAAAUAUCACGAUAUAUUGAAAACAUUGACUACAAAAAUGCGUUGGAUAAUCCAGAACGUUGGAUAAGCGAGUGUUGGAUAAGUGAGACUCUACUGUACCUUAUACAUUCAACAUUCACAAAAAUAAUAAUGCCCUGGUCAAUGUUAUAAUACGCAGAUGUAUCUUACUAAAUAUUAUCAAUCAAACAUAAUUAUAUAAGAAACUGCAAACCUAGAGGCUUAAAUACGGACUAGAGUCAAACACAUACUGUGUUUAUAACAUAUGUUUUGAACCAUCAUUGUGUUUUGUAUAUCUCUACAUUGUUUAGAAUAGACAUCUGUGUUUAUCUCUUAGUACACCCUAAGGGAGCCCUAAACAACUUCGAAUAGGACCCAAAGGAACAAAAUGGGACCUGGGACACCCUAAGAGGCCCUGAACAACUUCUACCCAGGUCCUUGGGUGGUGGGCAGGAUGGUGUUUGUGGAGGACAUUGGCAGGGCUCUUGGACAUGUUUACAGCGCUCGCUAGAACCUGCAUUGACAUUGGAGGGAGGGCCAUUGGUGUCUCCUGAGCAGUGGGAGCUCUAGUAAGAAACAUUGGGAUGCCUGUGGUGGAGGAAAUACAUAAAAUCUAGAAUGGAUUUGUCCCCGUCUGAAUGCCUUCCCUUGGGUGGUGAGCAGUAUGGUGUCUGUGGAGGACAUUAGCAGGGCUCUGGGACAUGUUCACGGUGCUCGCUAUAACUGGGAUAUCUGUGGUGGACACCCCAGCCACACACAUACAUUUAUUUAUUUAUUUACUACAUUUAUAUCCUGCUCUUCUCACCCUGAAGGGGACUCAGAGCGGCUUACAAAUCAAAUGAAAAUACAAUAUAUUAUUAGCAUAGCACUAUAUAAGCAAUAAAUUACUAUAUUGUACUAUAUCAGGAGCCUCCGGUGGCUCAGUGUGUUAAAGCGCUGAGCUGCUGAACUUGCAGACCAAAAGGUCCCAGGUUCAAAUCCGAAGGAGCGGAAUGAGCGCCCACUGUUAGCCCCAGCUCCUGCCAACCUAGCAGUUCGAAAACAUGCAAAUGUGAGUAGAUCAAUAGGUACCGCUCCGGCGGGAAGGUAACGGCGCUCCAUGCAGUCAUGCCGGUCACAUGACCUGGAGAUGUCUACGGACAACGCCGGCUCUUCGGCUUAGAAAUGGAGAUGAGCACCAACCCCCAAAGUCAGACACGACUGGACUUAAUGUCAGGGGAAACCUUUACCUUAC
ensembl:lncRNA